GACGAACGCUGGCGGCGUGCCUAAUACAUGCAAGUUGAGCGCUGAAGGUUGGUACUUGUACCAACUGGAUGAGCAGCGAACGGGUGAGUAACGCGUGGGGAAUCUGCCUUUGAGCGGGGGACAACAUUUGGAAACGAAUGCUAAUACCGCAUAAAAACUUUAAACACAAGUUUUAAGUUUGAAAGAUGCAAUUGCAUCACUCAAAGAUGAUCCCGCGUUGUAUUAGCUAGUUGGUGAGGUAAAGGCUCACCAAGGCGAUGAUACAUAGCCGACCUGAGAGGGUGAUCGGCCACAUUGGGACUGAGACACGGCCCAAACUCCUUCGGGAGGCAGCAGUAGGGAAUCUUCGGCAAUGGACGAAAGUCUGACCGAGCAACGCCGCGUGAGUGAAGAAGGUUUUCGGAUCGUAAAACUCUGUUGGUAGAGAAGAACGUUGGUGAGAGUGGAAAGCUCAUCAAGUGACGGUAACUACCCAGAAAGGGACGGCUAACUACGUG
rnacentral:rRNA from 1 species